AAACCUACAGGAGGGUGUCUCUCCAGGAACAGGGUUGGAGUUAAAACCUACAGGAGGGUGUCUCUCCAGGAACAGGGUUGGAGUUAAAACCUACAGGAGGGUGUCUCUCCAGGAACAGGGUUGGAGUUAAAACCUACAGGAGGGUGUCUCUCCAGGAACAGGGUUGGAGUUAAAACCUACAGGAGGGUGUCUCUCCAGGAACAGGGUUGGAGUUAAAACCUACAGGAGGGUGUCUCUCCAGGAACAGGGUUGGAGUUAAAACCUACAGGAGGGUGUCUCUCCAGGAACAGGGUUGGAGUUAAAACCUACAGGAGGGUG